UACAGAGGGGGCAAGCGUUGUUCGGAAUUACUGGGCGUAAAGGGCGCGUAGGCGGCCUGCUAAGUCGAACGUGAAAUCCCUCGGCUUAACCGGGGAACUGCGUCUGAUACUGGAUGGCUUGAGUUUGGGAGAGGGAUGCGGAAUUCCAGGUGUAGCGGUGAAAUGCGUAGAUAUCUGGAGGAACACCGGUGGCGAAGGCGGCAUCCUGGACCAACACUGACACUGAGGCGCGAAAGCUAGGGGAGCGAACAGG
rnacentral:rRNA from 1 species